GCGACGGCUGCAGUAGGAAAGGAGUCAGACGAGGCAGCCUCCAAUACCAUGGGCAGGGCUAGCAGACAAGCUGAAAAGACAAACCUCCACCCCACGCCCAUGGGGUUUAACACUGACAAGGACAGCACACCUGGAAGAGCGAGCUGCUGAUCAGCCAGGUUACGCGCCAAACCCAUUCAUCUUCAGCUUGAGCACCUUCCUUUAGCUGGCAUCUAGAGCUCCGUAUCGCCUGACUGUCCGACUCCUUCCAGAGCACAGCGAGCUGACAGGACACUGUCAAUGUCUAGGGACACGUGUUACACCUGAACCCAUACAGCUGAACAGGCAUGAAGAGGGACUAACAGAUGCCUGGGGAGAGGUACCAUGAAAUAAUAUAGAAAAAUGACAUCACAGCAGUCAAGGGAAAGGUCAGUUAACACAAAAAAUUGCAGGCAACGCGAAGAACCAUCCCGAGGAAACAGCAUGCAUGCCACAAGAGCCAGCGAAGAGUUACCCUUGCUCAAAAGGAACCCGUAACACUUGCAUCACGCACAGUUCUUUCCUCACCACAGUCUCUCAAACAACCAUUUCUAAACUGCUGACGGUUCGUAGCUACAGGGCACAGUUUCCUUGCCAAGCCUGGCCAUACUUCACAAAUAAAUACGUUUGCA